AGAGGAGCCUCAGCUGUGUCCCCACACAAGUAGCAGCUGAAGAAGUUUUUGCUGCUGAAAAGCAAGAGCUGGGGCUGUAGCCAGGUGAAUUUGGUAGCUAGAGUGCAUGAAGGAACUGCAGUGAAUUACCUGAGGAGACAGAAGGUGAGGUAAACAACACCCAACCUCACGUGUGUAAGCUGAGGUGAACUUUGUGGGGGACUUUGCUCUAUGGAAUGUCCCUAAAAGGGCUCAGCAGGGGCAGGUGCUGCUGGGACUGUGGCAAAGCAGCUACUAAUCCUCGCUGGCUGUUUGUUACCGAGUGUGUUUUGUUGCCGGAUGUCGAUGAAGCUGUUGUUAAACAGGGGCAGCGUAGCACAGCUGCAGGCGGCCGUGUGAGGCGGCAGGCCCGAGGCCGGGCCCGCGGCCCGGGGCCGCCUCCCCCACACCAGCCCGGCUCGCUCGCAUGUUCUGGCCGCCACCGUGAAGGUCAAUGCCGUGAGGUUUAGGCAACAGACCUGCAGCUUUUGAGGCACAAGCAGAUAUUCAGCUGGUGAUCAACCCUUAAUGAAGAUUAACAUCCCUGCAGCUGAGAUAAAGAAAUUGCCUGCCAGUACCCAAAGAUGUCAAGGUCAGAGAAGACUGCAGUGACCUAGGCAGCCAACAUUUCAGUCCAAAUGGUAUCUGCAGAAGACAAGUUGGCAAAGAGGAUUCUGGCAAGGAAAAAGCAUG